AUACGGAGGGUGCAAGCGUUAUCCGGAUUUAUUGGGCUUAAAGGGUGCGUAGGCGGUUUGAUAAGUCAGCGGUGAAAUCUUUCAGCUUAACUGGAAGGGUGCCGUUGAUACUGUCGAGCUUGAGUUUAGUUGCUGAGGGUGGAAUGCGUGGUGUAGCGGUGAAAUGCAUAGAUAUCACACAGAAUAUCGAUUGCGAAGGCAGCUCACAAAGCUAAUAUUGACGCUGAUGCACGAAAGUGUGGAGAUCAAACAGGAUUAGAUUCCCUGGUAGUCCACACUGUAAACGAUGAUAACUCGCUGUCGGCGAUACAUAGUCGGUGGCCAAGCGAAAGCGAUAAGUUAUCCGCCUGGGGAGUACGACCGCAAGGUUGAAACUCAAAGGAAUUGACGGGG
rnacentral:rRNA from 1 species